rnacentral:rRNA from 1 species
UACAGAGGGUGCAAGCGUUGUUCGGAUUUACUGGGCGUAAAGGGCGCGUAGGCGGCCAGCACAAGUCAGUUGUGAAAUCUCCGGGCUUAACUCGGAAAGGUCAACUGAUACUGUGCGGCUAGAGUGCAGAAGGGGCAACUGGAAUUCUCGGUGUAGCGGUGAAAUGCGUAGAUAUCGAGAGGAACACCUGCGGCGAAGGCGGGUUGCUGGGCUGACACUGACGCUGAUGCGCGAAAGCCAGGGGAGCGAACGGG